UGUCAGUCUCAUUACAUUGUCAUACAUUUUAUGUCCAGCCUGUAGGCUACAGAAAAGGGCACAUACCUCAUCCUUUAUCUGCUACAUGAUUUAUCUUAGAUCAUUUUUUGGACAGAACAUUGGUGGAGCACUACAGAGAUGCAUCUCUCCAACAGUACCCUGGAGCGGCACACUGGGAAUGGACAAGCUAAAUAUUUUGCGCCCCUGCCUUUGACAAAGUUGCCACUGCUUAUCAAAGGGCGGCAUCAUCAUAUUUGAAAUUGUUGCAUGUUGCGUUCAUAUUUCUGUUCAGUAUAGAUUGCUGAAUUAGAACUAGAUUCAAUCAGUUCUGCGUUAACCCGCGAUAACCGACAACUGCAUAGCAGUUUCAUUGUUUUUAUUUAGGCAAUCUCAGAGGUGUAUUAUUGCAUUGGGGCUGUCAAAUCAGACAAUGGCUCCUGGCGUUAUACCUAUCGCUGACAUUGCCAUUGGAUGCACCGACUCUUAUUAGUAAUAAUCCCAUGCAACCUUGUUACAAGUUGGAACACUGGAAUGUGUGAUGUAAUAUACACCUGCGUUAGGUUGAUAUGAAUCCUUAUUUUGUUUAAUGAUUUUCAAUUUGAGUGUAAUUACACUUUCUCGUUCUGAACUUCUUAUGUGAGUGGGACAGCUGUAGCUUGGUGACAAUGACCACUGGAGCAGACGCUCACCGAUUUCACAGCUAGCAGUUACACCUUUUAUACCAUCAAAACACCAGCUAUGCGGUUGUCGGCUAUUGCCGGUUAGCGCUUGAUCGGAUUGAAUCUAAGCCUUUGUCCAGCUAUCUAACUUGUAGUAAUCAUGGUAGAAUGACUGACCAGUGGUCUCCCCAUUGAUUUUGUUAGUUACUCUUACUCAGAUUUCUAAAUGUUGCUUAGGGCCCCCCAAAGGCUAAGGCCUGUUCUGACUGCAUGUGUGGGUAUGGCUGUAGGUACGCAGACCCGCGAGCCACUGUGGCCCGCAUGAUGAGUUCGGAUUUUUUGUGGCCCCCAACCCAAUCAAGGUUGUCCAUCUCUGCUCUAAACUAAAUGAGGUCAGCUUAGAAAAUGUUGUCAAAAGUGUAGGAUAAGAUGGUUUGGGCUAAUUAGGCUACAUCUACACAGGCAGGCCAAUUCUGAUAUUUUUUCCACUAAUUGGUCUUUUGACCAAUCACAUCAGAUCUUUUCACAUUACAUAUUUUUCUGAGCUGAUCUGAUUGGUCUGCCUGUGUAAAUGCAGCAUUGGUGGUUCACGGCAGAGAAAAGUUGGAUACUGCUGGUUAUGUAUCUGUGGCUUGUAUGCUUUUAAGGAGCUUUGGCACUUCUCAUUUCAUGAGAUUACUCUGGACCCUGUGGUCUCUUAUGUUGCUAUGAGAGCACUAGGGCCACAGAGAUUAUUUAUAUUCAUUUGGACACAUUCUUCAGAACCUCCAAGAUCAACUGGCGGUGGCAGCCUAGACCAGCUGGAUCAAAAGUGCAAAUGACAAACAAUCUUGUCCCAUCGCUGCAACUCCCGUACGGACUCGGGAGAGGCGAAGGUCGAGAGCCGUGCGUCCACGGAAACACAACCCAGCCAAGCCGCACUGCUUCUUGACCCAAUGCCCGCUGAACCCGGAAGCCAGCCACACCAAUGUGUCAGCGUUGUACUGCGCCCCGGCCCGCCACAGAAGUCGCUAGUGAGCAAUGGGACAAGAACAUCCCUGACGGCCAAACCCUCCCCUAACCCGGACGACGCUGGGCCAAUUCUGCGCCGCCCCAUGGGUCUCCCAGUCGUGGCCAGCUUCUGGACUCGAACCAGGAUCUCUAGUGACACAGCUAGCUCUGCGAUGCAGCGUCUUAGACCACUGCGCCACUCGGGAGGCUGCCUAAAGAUAGUUUUUGAAGUUUGUUUUACGUGUGGAUAAGCUAGGUACAGGACAUGAAAUCCACUUGCCUGCGUGUGUUGUUAGGGCCAUUCAAGCAAUUUAUCCCUGACAAGAUGGACAUUAUGUUGGAUACAAAUUUGAUGUUGAUGACUCGAGGAGAUGUGAAAGGUCCAUAACAACAAUCACCCCUUGUAUUAAAGUGACUCCGAACACCCUGCACCCACCAAACACAGCAUAUCCAAGUAUUCCCUUUGUAGAACUGUAGUAUUUAUUAUAGACGUUAGUAGUAUCUUUCUCUUCUACUGUAUAUAUGUAAUACAUUGCCAUAACUGUUCCUGCAUUCUGCUGUGUAAACUCACCUCGGUCUUCAGAGUAAAUCAAAUUUAUCUUGAAUACAAUCCAUGUCUACUUAGUAUUUGCUACUUAUUUACUUGCCAACAAAUGAAAGUUUAAAUGAU